AACGAACGCUGGCGGCAGGCCUAACACAUGCAAGUCGAGCGAGAUCUUCGGAUCUAGUGGCGGACGGGUGAGUAACGCGUGGGAACGUGCCCUUUGGUUCGGAAUAGCCUCGGGAAACUGGGAGUAAUACCGGAUACGCCCUUCGGGGGAAAGAUUUAUAGCCAAAGGAUCGGUCCGCGUUGGAGUAGGUAGUUGGUGGGGUAACGGCCUACCAAGUCGACGAUCCAUAGCUGGUUUGGGAGGAUGAUCAGCCACACUGGGACUGAGACACGGCCCAGACUCCUACGGGAGGCAGCAGGGGGGAAUCUUAGACAAUGGGGGCAACCCUGAUCUAGCCAUGCCGCGUGAUCGAUGAAGGCCUUAAGGUUGUAAAGAUCUUUCAGCUGGGAAGAUAAUGACUGUACCAGCAGAAGAAGCCCCGGCUAACUCCGUGCCAGCCGCCGCCGUAA
rnacentral:rRNA from 1 species